rnacentral:rRNA from 1 species
GUGCAGCAGGCGCGAAACCUCCGCAAUGCGCGAUUGCGUGACGGGGUCACCCCGAGUGUCGCUCGCUGAGGGCGACUUUUACUUGGUGUAGCGAGCCAAGUGAAUAAGGGGAGGGCAAGUCUGGUGUCAGCCGCCGCGGUAAUACCAGCUCCUCGAGUGGUUGGGACGAUUAUUGGGUCUAAAGCAUCCGUAGCCGGCUGGAAAAGUCCCCCGUUAAAUCCAACGACCCAAUCGUUGGGCUGCGGAGGAUACUUUCUAGCUUGGGGGCGAGGGAGGCUGACGGUAUUCCCGGGGUAGGGGCGAAAUCCUAUAAUCCCGGGAGGACCACCAGUGGCGAAGGCGGUCAGCUAAAGCGCGCCCGACGGUGAGGGAUGAAAGCUGGGGGAGCGAACGGGAUUAGAUACCCCGGUAGUCC